rnacentral:rRNA from 1 species
GAUGAACGCUGGCGGCGUGCCUAAUACAUGCAAGUCGAGCGAAGCGGGGACGGGUGAGUAACACGUGGAUAACCUCCUAUAAGACUGAGAUCACUUCGGGAAACCGGAACUAAACCAGAUACUUAUAGAUUGAUCCGGGCUGCAUUAGCUAGUUGGUAAGGUAACGGCUUACCAAGGCAACGAUGCAUAGCGGACCUGGGAGGGUGAUCGGCCACACUGGAACUUAGACACGGUACAGACUCCUACGGGAGGCAGCAGUAGGGAAUCUUCCGCAAUGGGCGAAAGCCUGACGGAGCAAUGCCGCGUGAGUGAUGAAGGUCUUCGGAUCGUAAAACUCUGUUAUUUGGGAAGCGGUACAUAAUCAGAAAGCACCGGCUAACUACGUGCCAGCAGCCGCGGUAAUUC